rnacentral:rRNA from 1 species
GACGAACGCUGGCGGCGUGCUUAACACAUGCAAGUCGAACGGAAAGGCCCUGCUUUUGUUGGGUUCUCGAGUGGCGAACGGGUGAGUAACACGUGAGUAACCUGCCCUUGACUUUGGGAUAACUUCAGGAAACUCCGGCUAAUACCCGAUAGAAUCUCUUGCUGCAUAGUGGGGGUUGGAAAAUUUCGGCUGUUGGGGAUGGACUCGCGGCUUAUCAGCUUGUUUGUCGGGUAGUUGAUUACCAAGGCUUUGACGGGUAGCCGGCCUGAGAGGGUUACCGGCCACAUUGGGACUGCGAUAGGCACCAGAAUCCUACCGGAGGCAGUAGUCGGGAACAUUGCGGAAUGGGCGGAAGCGUGAUGCAGCAACGCCGCGUGCGGGAUGACGGGUUUCGGGGUGUAAACCGAUUUCGACUGUGACGAAGCGUGAGUGACGGUAAUGGGUAAAGAAGCACCGGCUAACUACGUG